GACGAACGCUGGCGGCGUGCUUAACACAUGCAAGUCGAACGGAAAGGCCCUGCUUUUGUGGUGUGCUCGAGUGGCGAACGGGUGAGUAACACGUGAGUAACCUGCCCUUGACUUUGGGAUAACUUCAGGAAACUGGGGCUAAUACCGGAUAGGAGCUCCUGCUGCAUGGUGGGGGUUGGAAAGUUUCGGCGGUUGGGGAUGGACUCGCGGCUUAUCAGCUUGUUGGUGGGGUAGUGGCUUACCAAGGCUUUGACGGGUAGCCGGCCUGAGAGGGUGACCGGCCACAUUGGGACUGAGAUACGGCCCAGACUCCUACGGGAGGCAGCAGUGGGGAAUAUUGCACAAUGGGCGGAAGCCUGAUGCAGAAACGCCGCGUGCGGGAUGACGGCCUUCGGGUUGUAAACCGCUUUCGCCUGUGACGAAGCGUGAGUGACGGUAAUGGGUAAAGAAGCACCGGCUAACUACGUG
rnacentral:rRNA from 1 species